CCGAAGGCCGCCGUUAGGCUGAGUCACCCGCACCCUCGCUCCACGCUCCUUCCUCGUUUCGACUUUCUUCUUUCGAGCUUCCGUGGUUUUCACCGAGUGUGAUCUCUCCUCGCACUUCGCCCUCUGGCGACUCUUCUGCGUUGCUCCCGUCUGCGUCUAUGCCUUUUUCGCGUUUCUGAGGUCGACGUUUUCUCCUUUUCAGGUUUUCAUCCUCCAUUACCGCAUGCAGCCCAGCUCGUAUUCCAUCUAAAAGAGGUUGCGCCAGGGCAGCCUCUGCAUCGGCAUCAGCGAACUGGAGUUCGUCAAGGAACGCGUCCUUCUCGGCAGGCGUCCAAGAAAGCGAAACGACAUCGAUCGCCAGCUGAAGACACGCCCCGCAUGACAGUAACUGCCGCGAAGUUCUAGCCGCGCAGUUGAGGGUUGCACGUCAUCCUGCUCGCUAUAAGCAAGUAACGGAGACCCGCAUUUGUGGUAACCGUCGUGCUCUCGCACUAGCCCGAGACGCACAGCACAGGUCCCGAGCUUCGAUUACACGGCACACCCGUGCACACAAAGUAUGUUUGUCGCGAGCAGAGUUGUGGCACAGUCUUUUGCGACAGCUGAAGGACAGCGAGAUGGAUGUCCUUAAUUCCGCAAGGAUCCACCGGAAAACUCAAAGCAACCGGAGCCCGGAAAGUCGGACGCAUUCUUACCUCAAGAGAAUCUGUGUCCGCGUCCCACAUGGUCAAUUUCAGUUUCUUCGGAAGCAGCUGCUGGCGCGUAGUCACAGCUGCCAGGAAGAACCGUCCUGCCACACUCCAUUCCUUAUGAAAAUGAUAAAUACGAGACAGAGCCCCUGAGACGCAGACGAGGCAAGCCAGAAGAGAAAAAAAAGCAAGGAAGAAGUGAUGCGAAUGCCCCCACAGAGGAGCGUAGAUCUCGGGCGGAACAUGAAACCGUUUCGCAGUCCAAGUGGAAAAUCGGGAUCCCACCGGUUUUCAGGUAUAGAUCUGUGGCUUCGAGGAACGCCAAUGCACCGGCUUGGCUAUAUCGUUCUUUCUACAGAUGAGAGACGCGACACCCUCGUUUUACCACGCGCUUUUUACCACGCCCUUGCGGUAUGGCAGAGCAUGGCCGCCCACCGGAUCCACUCAUGGCACCCCAGUGCAAGAGCGACGAUGCACGGCUUGGGCAGAGUUGGCCGAAGACGAAGUGCUCGUCUCUGCCCCUGUGUCCUAGGUGGUAUCUCGCCAUAGCUUUUCUGGGUCGUCUGUAGCAUGCAUAACAUAUCUCUGCGGUUGCCUUUCUCGCCAAACACUUACGAAUGAAGUCUUUCUGCA
rnacentral:lncRNA from 1 species